rnacentral:rRNA from 1 species
AGCAAGAAACCUAGCUUUACCAAAGAAACCAAUAUUAAAUACCCCCUAAAACAAACCAUUUGCCCCAUUCAGUAUGUGCGACAGAAAAAUAACAAUAAAGCAAUAGAACAAGUACCGCAAGGAAACGAUGAAAGAACAUGAAACCAAAUAAAGCAGUAAAAAGCAAUGAUCACCCCACGUACCUUUUGCAUCAUGGUUCAGCAAGAAGCCGCAGAUAAAGAGAGCUUUAACCUGCCCACCCGAAACCAGACGAGCUACAUUGAGGCAGUUAAAAGAACAACCCCAUCUCUGUGGCAAAAGAGAGGAAAGACCUCAAAGUAGCGGCGAAAAACCAACCGAGCCUGGUAAUAGCUGGUUGCUCUAACAAACGAACUUAAGUUCACCUCUAGGGCAUGACAACAACACAACAAAGUCAAACUCCUUACCCUAGGAGCUACUCAAUAAAGGAACAGCUUUAUUGACCCAGGAUACAACCUGAAUCAGAGGCACCACAAACCCCCACCAACCCCGUAGGCCUUAGACCAGCCACCACAAACGACCGCGUCAAAGCGCAAACCACAUCAAUUCUAAUCAAAGACACAACGUCACCCUGACAUCAUCACAGAGCCAUCCUAUACACAAAUAGAAACCCCAAUGCUGAAACUAGUAAUAAGAGGCCCCCUCUCACCGCACCCCCCUCAAUCAGAAAUGGAUAACCCACUGAAAAUUAAACAAGCUAUUACAAAGAAAUAUAUUUUUAUCAAGCUACUUUACCCCCACAAUUUGUGACACCAACACAGGAGUGCAAAAAAGACAGAUUAAAAACCCUAAAAGGAAUUCAGCUAACAGACCUCAACUGUUUACCAAAAACAUAGCCUUUAGCCCCAACAAGUAUUAAAGGUAUCGCCUGCCCAGUGAUCUUAUUUUUAACGGCCGCGGUAUCCUAACCGUGCAAAGGUAGCGUAAUCAUUUGUCCCCUAAAUAGGGACUUGUAUGAACGGCUAACUGAGGGUCUAACUGUCUCCUGGGGUUAAUCAAUGAAACUGAUCUUCCAGUACAAAAGCUGAAAUAAACACAUAAGACGAGAAGACCCUGUGGAGCUUAAAAUAAACACUAUAAACCCCCGCCAACCUCCUUCGGGAGCAAAACCAUCACAAAACUAUAGUAAAAUUUUUAGUUGGGGCGACUUUGGAACAAAAUAAAACUUCCAUGCCAGGGACCCCCCCCAUCAAGGCUGACACGCCAAAACAUAUUCUUUUGACCCAGCAUAACUGAUCAACGAACCAAGUUACCCCAGGGAUAACAGCGCCAUCCUCUUCAAGAGUCCAUAUCGACAAGAGGGUUUACGACCUCGAUGUUGGAUCAGGACACCCCGGUGGUGCAACCGCUACCAAAGGUUCGUUUGUUCAACGAUUAACAGUCCUACGUGAUCUGAGUUCAGACCGGAGCAAUCCAGGUCGGUUUCUAUCUAUGACCAUCUUCUUUAGUACGAAAGGACCAAGAAGACAGUACCCAUGGUAUAACUACGUAUUGAAAAAAUGACUGCCCCCCACUAAAACCAUAGUCAACCCAACCAGCCCAAAACCAGGGCAUU